GAGCCAGCUUAGCCUAGCGGUUCCUUCGUUCUUUCACAAUUUAUUAAAAAUUCGUGUUCAACUCUAGCAGUUCAAGUCCCGCGGGCGCUGCCUGGCUUUUUU
rnacentral:vault_RNA from 1 species